GUAUGCACCUGGGGAACAUGCAUCACUUUAAAGAACACAAAGUGUUUAAAGGGGAGAGAGUGGUUCUGUCAGCAGAGGGGCUGUGUGCACUAGCCGGUGUGCAGUCUUGAGCUCUUGGUUCUGUUUUGGGGAAUAGAUUGGGGAAAAGAUGAGUACUUAGAUCUGGGGUCUGGUACCAACAAGACAGACCUCAUCUCCUUCCCAUCGCCACAGCUGGUUGAUGAAGUCCCCUCUCUAAACUCUACGCCUUGGCAAGCCCCUUGCAAGCAGGACCCAGCGCCCAGCCUAUUUCUAGGUAUUAGCACGAUGAGCACUUGAGCCAGCAGCACCCCAGUCCUUCCCUGUGACCACAGAGUCUGGCACAUGGUCAUCACCUCGAGGAGAGGGCGAGGGAGGCCGCCCCCCCCAUCAUGCCCUGAGUUCAGGGUGGCGUCCCCCGACCACACAGCUCCCACCUGCCUUCGGUGUUCACUGAGGCAGAACACUGGGGGGACAUCUCCAGAUGACCCUCAGGAAGAAGGACGGGGACCCCGGGCUCACCCCUGCAGCUGGGUCUUUAUCGCACGGUAAGAUGCCCCAGGCUCAGAGAACAGCCUUCCCAAGGGGUGGGGGUCUCUGCGACCAACCCUGGGCGCCGGGCUGUCGGGCCCCUGGCUCACCCGCAGCGCGGCCUCCGGGUCCCCGGCCAGCAGGUGCACGCAGCCCACGUUGAAGCACAUCCUGGCGGGCGGCUCGGGGUCGCCCGAGAAGAGGCGGAGGGCGCAGCCCCAGUCCCCGCGCGCCACAGCCUGCACGCCCCGGUGCCAGUCGCGCACCAGGUCUCCCCGAGAGGGCAUGGCGGCGUGGACACCCGCCAGACUGCGGCGCGAGUCUGGCUUCCGGGCCGGAGCGCGGCGGGCGAGGCCGGCGGCGGCGGGGGUCCCGUGAGGGAUCCGGCGGGACGACUGGGGGCGAGGGCCGCGGAGCAGGAGCUUCAGGGUCCGGAGGCCGGCGUGGGGAUGGGGGGGCCCCCCUUAGAUGCCGGCACCGGGGUCCAGACCGAAGGGGCGCUUGGCCCUCGGAGCGCGCGGAGUCCGCCAGCCGCAGGUGCGCCACGCCUCCUGCUGCCCACGGCGCCCCCUGGCGGCCGGGCGACCCCGCCCCUCCCCGAGCCGGCCCCCGCUCCGUCCACACGGCCCCGCCCCCCACAGGGGCCGCCCCUCUACAUCCGACCCCGCCCCUCCCCGCGCUUCUGCCGCGCCCAUCCCGACUUCCGCCGGGAGCUCCCGGAGCUCGCGUUUCCCGGCUCGCCUCGCCCCGGGCCGUGUGGCUCUCGGUGCUCCAGGGAAAGCCGUCCGGGCCCGCCGCUGCGGCGGCCGGGCCAGGGUUCCGGGCGGGCCCCGCUGGCCCAGGUGUUGAGGCAUCUGGAGUGGCCGAUCUAAAGCCGGCCUUCGCAGACGGGUGACCUGCUGUCCUGAGGGAGGCCUCCCAGGCUCCUGCCACGGUCACCCUCCUCCACGUCGGUAUUCCGGGGAGGCCCGCGAAGACUGUGUGGAUCACACCGUUCCUACAUCGGUGGAAGAGUCCAGAAAAGGGAACCAUUUCCUAAGGUAAGAACGUGCCUCAGAUAGCGGUCAGCGUAGUGCUGGAACUUAUUUUUAAAGGAAUGCAAUAAUCGUGGUUAGUUCUGGAGCACAGGUGUCAAAGAAAUGGGCAGGAAUUGGGUUUAGCCCAAUACAAAAAGUUAGGUUUUUUCCCCCUUUCUAAACAAUGGGAACUUUCCAAGAAAAAAUAAAAUAAAAAUAAGAUUUUUCUCUCAGGAAAUAAAAAUAGCCUUGGUGUGAUCGAAAUGCUUGGUGUUGGAGACCAGCUUCCUGAGACCUGGCCCCAACCGGGGCUGCAUCUAAUUCAGGGUCACGGAGCCCCUCCGUGGAGGGCUCACUGAGGAGGCGCCCACCGUCGGCCAUGUCUCUGAAACCCACCACUUCAGCCUUUCAUAGGCUCCUGACCGUUGACAUGGGCACUGAGGACCUCACCUUCUGCCACCCCAGGAAAUCUUGAAGAGGAAAACCAGAAGGACAUGGAAGGCAGCCAUGCAGACAGGAAGCGGCUCAGGAUUCAUCUCCUUUAAGGUUCAGAGUUGAGACUGUAAAACUGGGAAAAUUUUAGCGCACUCCUGCAGGACUUCAUGGUGGUCAAGGGCUUCAUCCUCUGGGCAAAUGGGAGUCCUGAUCCAUGGGCACUGGAGCGGCACCACCCAGUCUGCCUUUGCAGACCUAAGCCAGCCCCUCUUACUUGGCCUUGCAGUUUCAAACGGAGGAACGUGUUGCCACUGCUCUCUGAGCUCAUUUCUACAUGCGGUCCCUUCCGAGCAGGUGUCUGUCUGGGCCAGGAUUGGAAAUUCAGAUACAGGACAGUCCCACAGCUGUCUGGCCCUGCACCGUGGCCGCUCCGAGCUCUCUCUGCAGCGUGUGCUGCUGUCUGCAGGGGAAAGUGGGAAGGGGGGCCAGGCUUAGAACCUUAGAGCAGACCCACAGCAUCAUGUUACGUCCGAUGAAUCUAAUGAAACAGCCAGUGCAAAAGGGAAGAGUGUACGUUGCUGAAAUGAAUGAAUGAGCAAGUGGGUGACACCUUGAAACAUGCAGGGGUGAGUCCUGGAUGCUAAGGGGAUUCCGGAGGGAAAUAACAGGUCAUUUACUCUACUGCCAGACCAGCACAACAGCUCUGGAGGUCAGAAGGAAGCAGAAUAUCUACAAGGAGCACACAAAUCCAAGGAAGCCUGGAUUUAGCCAAAAAGGAAGGAAAUCGUGCCCAAGAAAGUAAAAAACAAAUGGAAGAAACCAAAAGGAGGAAGAGGAAGUUAAUAAAGAGAAAAGCUUAAUGAAUUAGGUAAUUAAAUCAGGAAGUAUAAAAUUAGUAACACCAAAAACUAGUUCUUAAAAAGAUCAGUGAAAUAAACUUCUGACAAGACUAAGGAAAAACAAGAGAGAAGUAAACAACGUUCAGUGUUAAAGAGCAGAGAACCACACAUUUGCCACGUCCACACCGAUACUGUGGUCAUAAAUGGGAAAACCUCCUCAAGAAAUCGGAUGACUUCCUGGCAAUCCAAUCUAUCUGAACAGACCUGAGAAGAAACAGGGAACUGGAGCAGGCCGUGAGCAUCAGAGACCCAACAGGCUGUAGGGUUCCAGCCAUGCAGUGGGUGGGCUGCUCCCAGCCCUGCUUGGGCCCACGGCCCGGCCAGCGCUCCGGCUCCAACACGGGCCCCCAGCCCCAGCAGAACCUUGAGACAAUGCAGCCCCUGCCUCGUUCUGGCUGCGACCCCCAGAGACCCUGGGCAGGACCGCACGGUCAAGCCGCUUCCAGUUCCUGACCCCUGACCCUGCACAGGACAAUAAAAGAUUGUUCUGCUCUAGGCCACUGAGUUUGGGGCCACAUUCGUUUGGCAGCAGUACGUAACUGAUGAGAGGUCAAUGCGGUCAGGCUUGAUCACGAGGGCAGAGCUGGAGCCGUGGGGAGCUCUGGGGAGACCGCUGUACAGCAGAGUGCCUGGUGUCCAGUGGGAAGGGGUCGCUUCCCAUGUGGGGCUCACGGAGCAGGCGGCCCCAUCUCCUUUCCGAAGCUGAGGUUUCCUCAUAGCUUAUUUUAACAUCUUUUAAAAAGAUUUUUAAAAUUCCUUUAUUUGAGAGAGAAAGGGCCUGAGCACAAGUGGAAGGGACAGAGGGAGAGAGAAGCUCACGUCGACUGUGUGCUCAGCGCAGAGCCCCACGUGGGGCUUGGUCCCACCACCCGGAGGUCACGACCUGAGCUGAAGCCACAAGUCCCACGCUCAACUGACUGCGCCACCCAGGCGCCCCAAUUUUAACUUUUAAAAUAUCAUUUGUGAUUUUCUUUUCUUCGUGAAUUCUAAGUGGAGUGUGUUCCUUGUAUAAUAUUUAGCAAAUACAAAAAAAUAAAAUGGGAAGUAGAAGUGGUGGUCUGCACCCCCUGCCGCCCCCCCGGUGCCUGUGUGUCCUCUGUGUCCCGCCCAGUGCUGGCGGGGCUGGGGGUGCCCUGUGGCCCACACAGUAGCAGGACUGCUUUCGUUAAACGCAACUUUAUGCCACAUUGUGAGGUCCUUUUUCUCCAGGACAUUAUGUUGUUUUUAAGUAGCCAUGCGUCAUUCACAUGAUUUCUGCCCCAUUUCUGGAUAGUGGGAGGCCCUCACAAGAGCGGGCAAGGAGCUGGAAAGCCCAGCUGAACGGUGAGGCCAGUGACUUCUGCCCUCCGCCCCCUCCCCUGCUGCAGCCCGGACCCUGUGGGAAAGGAUCCUGGAGGCAGGACUCAGGAGGGGCUGUCCUGCCUGAGCUGUGAUGCAGGGCCGAAGCCGACUAGCUUAACCAGAGUGACCCUUGACAGCGUGCACACAGUGGCGAGUGUGCAGAAAACCACCACUGCCAGCCCGGAAACCCCCGCAGCUGCUCCAGAGAGGCCCACCCCCCCACGCGGUAUCUCUGGAAAGUUACUUUCUUGUGUUUUAGAUUGGUGAUCUUAAUUUUUAAAGAAAGGAACAAGUCUUAAGUUAAAUGAGUAAGUUAAAAAUCACUACCACUGGGCCGGAUAGAAUAACAGGGACAGCCACCAACAGGUCAGUGUUGGCAAGGAUGUGCGGAAAUCGGGACCUUCGUGCGCUGUGGCGGGAUGCAGUGUGGCGGCUCCCCGGCUCGGCUUGGCCCAGCUCAGCCCAUUCCCCGGAGAAAAGGCGGCAUGUGUCCACAGAAACACCUGUGUGCAACUGUCCACAGCGGCCACAAGGUGGAAAUAACCCAGAUGGGUGUGGCCCAUUUGUACCACGGAACAUUGUUCAGCCACGGAAAGAAUAGGUGCUAGCAGGUGCUACAACGUGGACGGAGUGUGAAAACAACAUGCUGGGUAAGAGAAGCCGGAGGCAGACCACAUAUUGUAGGAUUCCAUGUGCGUGAAUGUCUACCACAGGCGAGCCCCAAGGGACGAAGUGGGUUUGUGGUUGCCAAAGGGGGUGGGGAGCAACAGCUAACGGGUACGAGUCAUCUUGGGGUGAUGGACGUGUACUGGAAUUAGGCAGUGGUGAUGUUUUCUCAUACCUAAAUAUACUAAAACACUGAGUUGUGCACUUUAAAAGGGUAGAUUUUAUGGUGUGUGUAUUAUAUCAAUAAAGCUUUAAAAAAAAUCACUGAGAUGUGUGCCCAGA
rnacentral:lncRNA from 1 species